rnacentral:lncRNA from 1 species
UCUGCAAUUUUCAUCCUCUUCCAUGCAUCAUAAUAUUUACAGCACUCACAUCAACCAGCACCAACCAUCUAAAUCCAUUUUACAUACAAUAAUUCUUAGUGAACUGACAGGCCUCAUCUCUACAGUGAUACAUGGCAAAUUGGUUGCUGUUCCAGCCUGCCAGCUACUUCAACAGAGAAAUCAUGCUGUGCUCUAUGAGAUGAGACCAUGAACGCUACUAUUUUGGCUUUGGCUUUUCUUCCCUGCCCGUGCAAGCCGAGACAGGCCAAAUCAAAUCCAUUAUUAACAGAGCUAAGAACAAGAAAAGAGUAGAAAUGGUACCUUAGCUUGGCGCCGUGCAGUUGUUUCUCUGGAGAACAGGUACGGCAGGAGGUAUCCUGGGGUCAAAGGAGAUCUGCGACAGGAGGGGUAUCGAACUUUGGGGCCGCUGGGUACUGGGUAACCUAGCUCCUGAACGCGAGGAUGAGACUGGGGGGAACCGGCUGCACAGGGAUGUUUGAAGAGUUUGGCAUCAACGACCGAUUUGUUUCCCUCCUGGCGUCACCGCGUCAGCAACCAACACGGAGUUGCUGGACCAGCAAACCCCUAGCUCGUGGAGAACGAAAUGAAUGGGGAGGGGCCAGACGGGAAGAAAGAAGUUCAUCCUACUUAUGUAGUGGCAGGCGCGGGUAAAUACAUGGUCUAUUGUCUCCGUUGGGGCAUGAGCAACAUGGGCUAACAGAUGCCAGUGAUCUCAAGGAAGAGAUGGUUCCAUGUAAAUGAGGUACUACCAGAGCACCUAAAGUCACAACGCUGGGAUCAGAUCUUAUAGGUUAUAAAAUCUGUCAUGAUGAUUAGCAGUUUUUCCAAAUAAUCACACGAGAAGACAUGCCUAUCAACAGGUUUUCCAAACAAUAACAAAGGAAGACAUGAUACUUGUAGCUUCUAGCUUAAAAUGAUCUCAC